rnacentral:rRNA from 1 species
GUGGGGAAUUUUGGACAAUGGGCGCAAGCCUGAUCCAGCAAUGCCGCGUGCAGGAAGAAGGCCUUCGGGUUGUAAACUGCUUUUGUACGGAACGAAACGGUCCUGGCUAAUACCCGGGGCUAAUGACGGUACCGUAAGAAUAAGCACCGGCUAACUACGUGCCAGCAGCCGCGGUAAUACGUAGGGUGCGAGCGUUAAUCGGAAUUACUGGGCGUAAAGCGUGCGCAGGCGGUUUUGUAAGACAGGCGUGAAAUCCCCGGGCUCAACCUGGGAAUUGCGCUUGUGACUGCAAGGCUGGAGUGCGGCAGAGGGGGAUGGAAUUCCGCGUGUAGCAGUGAAAUGCGUAGAUAUGCGGAGGAACACCGAUGGCGAAGGCAAUCCCCUGGGCCUGCACUGACGCUCAUGCACGAAAGCGUGGGGAGCAAACAGGAUUAGAAACCCCGGUAGUCC